rnacentral:rRNA from 1 species
UACGAGGGGGGCUAGUGUUGUUCGGAAUCACUGGGCGUAAAGGGCGCGUAGGCGGGAGCCUAAGUUGGGUGUUUAAUUCCGGGGCCCAACCCCGGGCAUGCACUCAAAACUGGGUUUCUUGAAUAGGGGAGAGGUCGGUGGAAUUGGAGGUGUAGCGGUGGAAUGCGUAGAGAUCUCCAAGAACACCCGUUGCGAAGGCGGCCGACUGGACCCAUAUUGACGCUGAGGCUCGAAAGCAUGGGGAGCAAACAGG